GGGGGUAGCUAGGUGCUGGUGUACCUCUCGGUCUUCAAAACCGCUGUGAGGGGUUAAGAGCCUCUCGGGUGAGUUCGAUUCUCACGUAUCCCC
rnacentral:tRNA from 1 species